GCCGGGCAUGGUGGCGUGCGCCUGUAGUCCCAGCUACUCCGGAGGCUGUGACAGGAGAAUUGCUUGAACCCGGGAGACAGAGGUUGCAGUGAGCCGAGAUCGCGCCACUGAACUCCAGCCUGGGUGACAGAGCAAGACUCUGUCUCAA
rfam:Pan troglodytes isolate Yerkes chimp pedigree #C0471 (Clint) chromosome 6, whole genome shotgun sequence.